rnacentral:rRNA from 1 species
GACGAACGCUGGCGGCGUGCCUAACACAUGCAAGUCGAGCGAUGAAGUUUCCUUCGGGAAAUGGAUUAGCGGCGGACGGGUGAGUAACACGUGGGCAAUCUGCCUCAUAGAGGGGAAUAGCCUCCCGAAAGGGAGAUUGAUACCGCAUAAUAUUAUCGUUUCGCAUGAAACAGUAAUUAAAGGAGCAAUCCGCUAUGUGAUGGACCCGCGGCGCAUUAGCUAGUUGAUGAGGUAACGGCUCCCCAAGGCGACGAUUCGUAGCCGACCUGAGAGGGUGAUCGGCCACAUUGGGACUGAGACACGGCCCAGACUCCUACGGGAGGCAGCAUUGGGGAAUAUUGCACAAUGGGGGAAACCCUGAUGCAUCAACGCCGCGUGAGUGAUGACGGUCUUCGGAUUGUAAAGCUCUGUCUUUGGGGACGAUAAUGACGGUACCCAAGGAGGAAGCCACGGCUAACUACGCGCCAGCAGCCGCCGUAAGAC